rnacentral:rRNA from 1 species
CGGUAAUUCCAGCUCCAAUAGCGUAUACUAAAGUUGUUGCAGUUAAAAAGCUCGUAGUUGGAUUUCUGCGGGGGAGGGGCGCCCUGGGCUUUUAGUCUAUGGAGCAGCAGCUCCUCCGCAUCCUGCCGCGAACCACGCUACCAUUCGUUUGGUGGCGUCUGGGGACCGGCUCGUUUACUUUGAGAAAAAUAGAGUGUUCAAAGCAGGCCUGAUGCCUUGAAUAAUGUAUGAUGGAAUAAUGAUAAAGGACUUUGGUUCUAUUUUGUUGGUGUUCGGGACCGAAGUAAUGAUUGAUAGGGACAGUUGGGGGCGUCUGUAUUCUGAAGCAAGAGGUGAAAUUCUUAGACCUUCGGAAGACAAACAGCUGCGAAAGCGUUCGCCGAGGAUGUUCCCUUUGAUCAAGAACGAAAGUUGGGGGAUCGAAGACGAUCAGAUACCGUCGUAGUCUCAACUAUAAACUAUACCAGCUAGGGAUCGGCCAACGUUGAUAUCAAAAGACUUGGUCGGCACCUUAUGAGAAAUCAAAGCAUCUGGGUUCCGGGGGGAGUAUGGUCGCAAGGCUGAAACUUAAAGGAAUUGACGGAAGGGCACCACCAGGCGUGGAGCCUGUGGUUUAAUUUGACUCAACACGGGGAAACUUACCAGGUCCUGACAUGAGAAGGAGGAACAGCAGGUCAUUUCUUUUUUGAUGUUAGGGGGGGUGGUGCAGCUCCGUUUUUAUUGGGUGGAGUGUUUUGUUAGGUUAAUUAUGUUAACAAACGACACCCCAGUAUGUUAAAUAGCGGGCGUGGGUUCUGGCCGCGGCGAGCUUAUUAGAGGGACUAUCGCUUGUGAUAGGAAAGGGAAGUGCGGGGCAAUAACAGCUAUGUGAUGACAUGAUAUGUUCUGCGCCGCGCCCGGGCUACUGCGACGAGUGCAUCGAGCAUACCAGCUGCCACGACAGGGGGUAGGCUUAUUUUUUGAACUCGGGUUGGGGUAGGGACUGGCCAAUGCAAUUUUUGGUCAUGCAGGAGAGGAAUGCAUAGUAAACUCGUGUCAUCAGCACUGCAUAGAUUACGUGCCCUGCCCAUAGUACACACCAAGGCAAGAGGUGAAUUC